rnacentral:rRNA from 1 species
GGUGGCAAGCGUUGUCCGGAAUUAUUGGGCGUAAAGCGCGCGCAGGCGGUUUCUUAAGUCUAUGUGAAAGCCCACGGCUCAACCGUGAGGGUCAUUGGAAACUGGGAAACUUAGUGCAGAAGAGGAAAGUGGAAUUCCACGUGUAGCGGUAAAUGCGUAGAGAUGUGGAGGAACACCAGUGGCGAAGGCGACUUUCUGGU